CAGUCGCCGCGGUAAAACGUAGGUGGCAAGCGUUGUCCGGAAUUAUUGGGCGUAAAGGGCUCGCAGGCGGUUUCUUAAGUCUGAUGUGAAAGCCCCCGGCUCAACCGGGGAGGGCCAUUGGAAACUGGGAAACUUGAGUGCAGAAGAGGAGAGUGGAAUUCCACGUGUAGCGGUGAAAUGCGUAGAGAUGUGGAGGAACGCCAGUGGCGAAGGCGACUCUCUGGUCUGUAACUGACGCUGAGGAGCGAAAGCGUGGGGAGCGAACAAGAUUAGAUACCCGGGUAGUCCCUGUCUCUUAUAC
rnacentral:rRNA from 1 species